GGGCGCAAGCCUGAUCCAGCCAUGCCGCGUGCAGGAUGAAGGCCUUCGGGUUGUAAACUGCUUUUGUACGGAACGAAAAGACUCCUUCUAAUAAAGGGGGUCCAUGACGGUACCGUAAGAAUAAGCACCGGCUAACUACGUGCCAGCAGCCGCGGUAAUACGUAGGGUGCAAGCGUUAAUCGGAAUUACUGGGCGUAAAGCGUGCGCAGGCGGUUAUGUAAGACAGAUGUGAAAUCCCCGGGCUCAACCUGGGAACUGCAUUUGUGACUGCAUAGCUAGAGUACGGCAGAGGGGGAUGGAAUUCCGCGUGUAGCAGUGAAAUGCGUAGAUAUGCGGAGGAACACCGAUGGCGAAGGCAAUCCCCUGGGCCUGUACUGACGCUCAUGCACGAAAGCGUGGGGAGCAAACAGGAUUAGAUACCCUGGUAGUCCACGCCCUAAACGAUGUCAACUGGUUGUUGGGUCUUCACUGACUCAGUAACGAAGCUAACGCGUGAAGUUGACCGCCUGGGGAGUACGGCCGCAAGGUUGAAACUCAAA
rnacentral:rRNA from 1 species